AGUCGUACGCUUCUUUUUCACCGGAGCUUGCUCCACCGGAAAAAGAAGAGUGGCGAACGGGUGAGUAACACGUGGGUAACCUGCCCAUCAGAAGGGGAUAACACUUGGAAACAGGUGCUAAUACCGUAUAACAAUCGAAACCGCAUGGUUUUGAUUUGAAAGGCGCUUUCGGGUGUCGCUGAUGGAUGGACCCGCGGUGCAUUAGCUAGUUGGUGAGGUAACGGCUCACCAAGGCCACGAUGCAUAGCCGACCUGAGAGGGUGAUCGGCCACAUUGGGACUGAGACACGGCCCAAACUCCUACGGGAGGCAGCAGUAGGGAAUCUUCGGCAAUGGACGAAAGUCUGACCGAGCAACGCCGCGUGAGUGAAGAAGGUUUUCGGAUCGUAAAACUCUGUUGUUAGAGAAGAACAAGGAUGAGAGUAACUGUUCAUCCCUUGACGGUAUCUAACCAGAAAGCCACGGCUAACUACGUGCCAGCAGCCGCGGUAAUACGUAGGUGGCAAGCGUUGUCCGGAUUUAUUGGGCGUAAAGCGAGCGCAGGCGGUUUCUUAAGUCUGAUGUGAAAGCCCCCGGCUCAACCGGGGAGGGUCAUUGGAAACUGGGAGACUUGAGUGCAGAAGAGGAGAGUGGAAUUCCAUGUGUAGCGGUGAAAUGCGUAGAUAUAUGGAGGAACACCAGUGGCGAAGGCGGCUCUCUGGUCUGUAACUGACGCUGAGGCUCGAAAGCGUGGGGAGCAAACAGGAUUAGAUACCCUGGUAGUCCACGCCGUAAACGAUGAGUGCUAAGUGUUGGAGGGUUUCCGCCCUUCAGUGCUGCAGCUAACGCAUUAAGCACUCCGCCUGGGGAGUACGACCGCAAGGUUGAAACUCAAAGGAAUUGACGGGGGCCCGCACAAGCGGUGGAGCAUGUGGUUUAAUUCGAAGCAACGCGAAGAACCUUACCAGGUCUUGACAUCCUUUGACCACUCUAGAGAUAGAGCUUCCCCUUCGGGGGCAAAGUGACAGGUGGUGCAUGGUUGUCGUCAGCUCGUGUCGUGAGAUGUUGGGUUAAGUCCCGCAACGAGCGCAACCCUUAUUGUUAGUUGCCAUCAUUUAGUUGGGCACUCUAGCAAGACUGCCGGUGACAAACCGGAGGAAGGUGGGGAUGACGUCAAAUCAUCAUGCCCCUUAUGACCUGGGCUACACACGUGCUACAAUGGGAAGUACAACGAGUCGCGAAGUCGCGAGGCUAAGCUAAUCUCUUAAAGCUUCUCUCAGUUCGGAUUGUAGGCUGCAACUCGCCUACAUGAAGCCGGAAUCGCUAGUAAUCGCGGAUCAGCACGCCGCGGUGAAUACGUUCCCGGGCCUUGUACACACCG
rnacentral:rRNA from 1 species